GUGGUCCCGAUCGCGAGCACGUGGAAGUGAGGUCGAGAUGUUUCCGUGAGACGCGCGACUGAUCAUCAGGGAUGUUGUGGGGGGGGGGAGGACCAAAAGGAAUAGAAACGAGAGAAAACCCACCACGAAAAGCUGGAACCGAAGAGAGCUUCAGCCGCUGUUACUUUUUGAUGAAUCAGAUCUAUCUGCAGCACGAGAACCGAGGAGCUGACGUCGUGGGAAAAUGUCAACGCUCAUAUUCUCUGUGUGAAGAGAAACAUUUUCACUGCUGACUCAUUACAAAGACCAGCUGAAAAUCCCGUGCCAAUUCAUUCCUGGUUUGGCAGACAGAAAAGUAAGCGCCCUACGAGGAGAAAUCGCCGCUUCGCGAAAGGCCGUUCUCGUCCCGAGCAGCUCCUCGUUGACCCGAUGGCUUUUCCUCCGGAGCAGCUGUCGGGCCGGCGCGUCACGCGGCUGCGUCUCCCAAAUACAGCCGGCUAAUGAGGCCGGAGCUCUUGAGGACGGCACCGCGGCAUCACGCCGCGCGGGAAGAGUACAGUACGGGGCAGUGCAGUUGCAGACCCCCCCCCCCCCGUGCAGUCCCGUGUUUUACGGCCGCCGCCGCACUUACGACCAGCAGAGAUACCGAUCAGAAUGGGAAGGAUGCGACGCUGAAUGCAGUCGGCGUUGGAUUCAGUUUCACCGAGUCCUAAAACACACACACAAACACACAAACACCGCAUGGGUUUUAAUACUAUCUACUUCCUCCUUUCUUCGAGGGGACACAUACACCCUGAAUGGGCCCCUGUGGUGAUCUGCGUUGUGGUCGAGAGUGUUACAACUGCCACGCUGGUCUGCUUAAAGGGGCCGUGCUGCUGAUCCUCUUUCAGGGGGUCCGUACGUCGCCGCAGCGUUUCAGGCUUCUGCACGGCUGCAUGUUUCCGCCUGUUGUCAGUGAGCGAGUGCGUUCUUGUACUAAUUGCAUAAACUUUAGGAAUCUAUAAUAGCUGGGGGGGGG
ensembl:lncRNA